rnacentral:rRNA from 1 species
UACGUAGGGUGCGAGCGUUGUCCGGAAUUAUUGGGCGUAAAGAGCUUGUAGGUGGCUCGUCGCGUCGGGAGUGAAAACCCGCGGCUUAACCGCGGGCCUGCUUUCGAUACGGGCGGGCUAGAGUUCGGCAGGGGAGACUGGAAUUCUUGGUGUAGCAGUGAAAUGCGUAGAUAUCAAGAGGAACACCAGUGGCGAAGGCGAGUCCCUGGACAACUUCUGACGCUGAGGCACGAAAGCUAGGGGAGCAAACAGG